rnacentral:lncRNA from 1 species
ACUUCACACCCAAACAGCAUUCUAAUGGAAGUUAGUCAAUUUCACAUCCAAACAGCAUUCUAAUGGCAGUUAGUCAAUUUCACAUCCAAACAGCAUUCUAAUGACAGUUAGUCAAUUUCACAUCCAAACAGCAUUCUAAUGACAGUUAGUCAAUUUCACAUCCAAACAGCAUUCUAAUGGCAGUUAGUCAAUUUCACAUCCAAACAGCAUUCUAAUGGCAGUUAGUCAAAAAAGCUCAAAACAAGCU